AUUUGAAAUCAUAGGAACCAAUGUGACUGAAGCAUGCUAAGCAAAGAAGAGAGUGUUGACGGAUAAAGUCAGAGAAAGCAGAUCAAAGCAGGAGGCCAGUAGGGGCUUGUAGGCCAUCCUAAGAAGUCUACAUUAAUGCAAUGGGGAGUAUUAAAGUUUUUUAAGCAGAAGCAUGAAAAAUUGUGAUCUGUGUUUUUAACAAAAUGGUUAUGGCUGCUUUGUAGAGAAUGGAUUGUGAAAGCAGAGACCAGUAGUGAGGCUAUCUCAGUAGUCCAGGUGAAUAAUGAUAAUGAACUAGGGUUGUGACAGUGGCGAUGAUGAGACGUGGUCAGAUUCAGGUAUAAGUUGAAAGUGGAGCCAACAGAUUUGCUGAUGACUUGACUGGGGUUGACAGAGGAAUCAGGAUACCUACUAGAUUUGGGGCUUGAGCAACUAGGUGAAUAGUGGUGCCAUUUACUAAAGCAUGUUAAAUUUGAGAUGCUUGUCAGACAUUGAGGUAGAGAUGUUGAGUGGGCAGUUGCAUAUUCUAAUAUACAGGAUUGCAGGUCAGGGGAAGUUAGGGCUGGAGAUAGUAUUUCACGAGAGUUUAUGUCAACAAUAGUGAGAAGCAGCGUAGGCUAAAGGUAAGAGCUUAGGCUCCGGCAGAGACAGCUGAAUUUGCCUCUGCCCCUCCAGUUGCUGUCUAUAAGCUUCAGCAAGUUUCUGAACCUCUCCAUGCUUCACUUUGGAGGAUUAUACUUCCUGUUCUCAUAGGAUUAUUUGUGUCCAUGAAAACUUGAAGGUUGUGUGGAAGAGGAGGAGAGGCGUGAUGUACAUGUCCUCCAUGGCACCCCUCAUCUAGGGUUUCUCUAGGGCAAAUGCCCACCUCAACUCUCACAUCCCCAGUGGUACCCCAGCCUUUAUUACCACAUGGCAAGAGAGGAUUGAUGUUGGAAUUCAACCAACUGGACACAACUGAUACAAUGCAGCCUAGUUAAUUAAUGUGUAAAGGGCUGCAGCAAGGAACAAAAAAGAAAUGCCUUAAGGACCUGAAGAUUGGAGUAACCAAGGGAACCCAGAAAACAGCAACAUCUGACAGGUCCACAGAGCCCCACAGCUUUCAGAAAUGAAAAGCUUUUUAUUUGUUUAUUUGUUAUUUGUCUGUUCCUCUACUGGUUUUGGGUUUUUUUUUCCCCCUUUGUUUUGUUUGAGACAAUACUAUGAUUUAAAAGGCAUAGUCACCUCUUCCAGCUCCAGGAACCAGAUGCCACUCCUUACAGUUAUUUUGCAAUGUGGCAAGAACCGGUUUUUCAGUUUUGUCUUUCCAGCUAUGCCCUCACAGACAUCAUCAGUAAACUAAUAAUACAGGGCUUGUGAUACAUGACUUCUUGUCUAGAAUUCUUUAUGAGCUACCUCACAUUUUGCUUUCUGAAAAGAUAAUUUAACAUGCUGGGUGCAUGGCUUGACACACUUGAAUGCUGAAGCACUGAACAGAGUUCCCAUUUUAAAGAGUUUGAAAG
rnacentral:lncRNA from 1 species